rnacentral:rRNA from 1 species
CUAAUACCGCAUAAGCCCACAGGUCGGCAUCGACCAGAGGGAAAAGGAGCAAUCCGCUUUGAGAUGGCCUCGCGUCCGAUUAGCUAGUUGGUGAGGUAACGGCCCACCAAGGCGACGAUCGGUAGCCGGACUGAGAGGUUGAACGGCCACAUUGGGACUGAGACACGGCCCAGACUCCUACGGGAGGCAGCAGUGGGGAAUAUUGCACAAUGGGGGAAACCCUGAUGCAGCGACGCCGCGUGGAGGAAGAAGGUCUUCGGAUUGUAAACUCCUGUUGUUGAGGAAGAUAAUGACGGUACUCAACAAGGAAGUGACGGCUAACUACGUGCCAGCAGCCGCGGUAAAACGUAGGUCACAAGCGUUGUCCGGAAUUACUGGGUGUAAAGGGAGCGCAGGCGGGAAGACAAGUUGGAAGUGAAAUCUAUGGGCUCAACCCAUAAACUGCUUUCAAAACUGUUUUUCUUGAGUAGUGCAGAGGUAGGCGGAAUUCCCGGUGUAGCGGUGGAAUGCGUAGAUAUCGGGAGGAACACCAGUGGCGAAGGCGGCCUACUGGGCACCAACUGACGCUGAGGCUCGAAAGUGUGGGUAGCAAACAGGAUUAGAUACCCGGGUAGUCCACACCGUAAACGAUGAUUACUAGGUGUUGGAGGAUUGACCCCUUCAGUGCCGC